AUUGAACGCUGGCGGCAGGCCUAACACAUGCAAGUCGGACGGUAGCACAGAGGAGCUUGCUCCUCGGGUGACGAGUGGCGGACGGGUGAGUAAUGUCUGGGGAUCUGCCCGAUAGAGGGGGAUAACCACUGGAAACGGUGGCUAAUACCGCAUAACGUCGCAAGACCAAAGAGGGGGACCUUCGGGCCUCUCACUAUCGGACGAUCCCAGAUGGGAUUAGCUAGUAGGCGGGGUAAUGGCCCACCUAGGCGACGAUCCGUAGCUGGUCUGAGAGGAUGACCAGCCACACUGGAACUGAGACACGGUCCAGACUCCUACGGGAGGCAGCAGUGGGGAAUAUUGCACAAUGGGCGCAAGCCUGAUGCAGCCAUGCCGCGUGUAUGAAGAAGGCCUUCGGGUUGUAAAGUACUUUCAGCGGGGAGGAAGGCGGUGCGGUUAAUAACCGCGCCGAUUGACGUUACCCGCAGAAGAAGCACCGGCUAACUCCGUGCCAGCAGCCGCGGUAA
rnacentral:rRNA from 1 species